AUUUUAAAUACCUACCGUAAAACCGGGUCCCUAGAAAUCGCGUGAAAAUUUUACGUGAUAAAGGGGUCAGUGGAGACGCAUAUGUGGUGAGUAGUUACGCCAAAGGGGGUCCCAAAGUUCAGUCACUGGCACAUUAUUAUUAAAUUUAAGACAUGAUUCUAAGAAAAUUUUAUUGAAUUCCAUUUUUGAAUGUGUGACAAUUAUUUUCAAACAAAAAACAGUCAUUCGCUGCAAUUCCUUACGAUGGAGUGGACAUUGAAAGAUAACCGAAUAGGAUUCUGCAUCAGCACACAAAGCCAAGACCACUCAAGCCUGGUUUGACCGUCAAAAAAUCGACUUGAUAAGACACGAAGAUUGGCUUGCCUCCAGUCCGGACCUUAAUCCUUUGGACUAUACAAUUUGGCAGGUCUUAGAAAGAAAGGUAUGUGCUAAACUCCAUAAAAAUGUGGAGAGCCUGAAGUCAUCUUUAAGAAAAGCAGUCGCUGAAAUAGACAUGAAAAUGUGUGCGUGCUGCGAUAGACGACUGGCCGCGCCGAUUAAGGUCCUGUAUUAAAAACAAGGGAGGUUUUGAAUAAUUUCAAGUAAUGAAUAAAAAUAAUUUAGUAUUAAAUGUACUUUAAAUUUGUAUAUAAUUUAUUAAAAACUGAUUGGUACUUUUGAUUUUA